AACAAACGCUGGCGGCGUGCCUAACACAUGCAAGUCGUACGAGAAAGGGUCCUUCGGGGCCUGAGUAAAGUGGCGCACGGGUGAGUAACGCGUGGAUAAUCUGCCCUUCAGUUGGGAAUAACUCAACGAAAGGUGGGCUAAUACCGAAUAAUGCUGUGAGUCCUCGGUUGAUCAGCCAAAGAGAGCCUCUGCUUGCAAGCCCUCGCUGAAGGAUGAGUCCGCGUACCAUUAGCUAGUUGGUAGGGUAAUGGCCUACCAAGGCGGCGAUGGUUAGCUGGUCUGAGAGGAUGAUCAGCCACACUGGAACUGAGACACGGUCCAGACUCCUACGGGAGGCAGCAGUGAGGAAUCUUGCGCAAUGAGGGCAACCCUGACGCAGCAACGCCGCGUGAGUGAGGAAGGUCUUCGGAUCGUAAAGCUCUGUCGGAUGGAAAGAACCGCAUAGGGGUAAACAGCCCCUGUGUCUGACGGUACCAUCAAAGGAAGCACCGGCUAACUCUGUGCCAGCCGCCGCAGUAAUAC
rnacentral:rRNA from 1 species